rnacentral:rRNA from 1 species
UACAGAGGUCUCAAGCGUUGUUCGGAUUCAUUGGGCGUAAAGGGUGCGUAGGCGGCGCGGUAAGUCGGGUGUGAAAUCUCGGGGCUUAACUCCGAAACUGCAUUCGAUACUGCCGUGCUUGAGGACUGGAGAGGAGACUGGAAUUUACGGUGUAGCGGUGAAAUGCGUAGAUAUCGUAAGGAAGACCAGUGGCGAAGGCGGGUCACUGGCCCGGUACUGACGCUGAGGUGCGAAAGCGUGGGGGAGCAAACAGG